CGCAUCUGUGCAUGCAGCAUAUCAAUAAGCGGAGGAAAAGAAACUAACAAGGAUCCCCCUAGUAACGGCGAGUGAAGCGGGAAGAGCUCAAAUUUGAAAUCUUAAAGGGUUUCCCUUUACGAAUUGUAGUUUAAAGAAGUGUUUUCUGUUGAGGUUUUGGUAAAAGUUCUUUGGAAUAGGACAUCAUAGAGGGUGAGAAUCCCGUAUUUGACCUUUACUUUCAACUUUGUGAUACACUUUCAAAGAGUCGGAUUGUUUGGGAAUGCAGUCCAAAAUGGGUGGUAAAUUUCAUCUAAAGCUAAAUAUUGGCGAGAGACCGAUAGCGAACAAGUACCGUGAGGGAAAGAUGAAAAGAACUUUGAAAAGAGAGUUAAACAGUACGUGAAAUUGUCAAAAGGGAAGCGUUUGACACCAGUGUUGUUUUUCUGAAAAUCAAUUAAAGAACUGUUUAUGCUAAGCUGUUUAGACUUUAUCAGCUAACUGUCUAGUUUUGAGCUUUUCUUUAAUGCACUUUUCAGUUAACAAGUCAACAUCAAUUUCUUUUGCUGUAAAAAAGCUUGAGGAAGGUGGCUUGAGAUUCGUCUUAAGUGUUUAUAGCCUCUUGCCUAUGCAGUCGGAGAGAUUGAGGUCUGCAGCGUAGAUCCUUCGGGGCUAAAUGCAUUUGUGCUAAGUUAUAGCAUUUUAUAGACAACUUGUUGACUAUGAUUUGUCUUGUAGCUUACUCGCUUAUGUUAUUUUACCUACGCUUAGGAUGUUGAGUCAUCACACAUCUCU
rnacentral:rRNA from 1 species